rnacentral:rRNA from 1 species
GAUGAACGCUGGCGGCGUGCCUAAUACAUGCAAGUCGAGCGAACAGACGAGGAGCUUGCUCCUCUGACGUUAGCGGCGGACGGGUGAGUAACACGUGGAUAACCUACCUAUAAGACUGGGAUAACUUCGGGAAACCGGAGCUAAUACCGGAUAAUAUAUUGCACCGCAUGGUUCAAUAGUGAAAGUCGGUUUUUCUGUCACUUAUAGAUGGAUCCGCGCCGUAUUAGCUGGUUGGUAGGGUAACGGCCUACCAGGGGAACCAUGCGUGAACGACGGGACAGGGUGGUCGCCCACACGGGAAGUGAGACAGCGUCCAGACGACUACGGGAGGGAGCAGAAGCGAAUCGUCCGCAAUGGGCGAGAGCUUGACGGAGCAACGCCGCGUGAGUGAUAGAGAUCUUCGGAUCGUAAUACUCUGUUAUUAGGUAAGAACAAAUUUGGAAGUAACUAAGCACGUCUUGACGGUACCUAAUCAGAAAGCCACGGCUAACUACGUG